GGCCUCCCAAUGCUUACCACAGGCUGUGUUCUUUACACGGACUGUAUAAAAAGAGGGGUACAGUAAAUGCUCCCCAUAUACACCUCAGACCAGGCCCUGGGAAUAAUCUCUGCUGUUGGGGGUGUGGUGAAAAAG